rnacentral:tRNA from 1 species
GGGAAUGUGGCUUAGUGGUAGAGUGCUUGCCUUGCAUGCAUGAAGCAAUUCAAUUCCU